rnacentral:lncRNA from 1 species
UUUUUUUUUUUUCAAAACAACCUGUGAAUGGUGCUGUGGUUGUAACUUGUCUCUGAUACCACUUUAAUCUGUCACGCCCCGAGGUCUCUUUUAUGUUUGUUUCGGCGAAAGUGGACUUUGAGUUAAAGUGGACUUUGGGUUGAAGUUGUGUUCGGUGAAAACUACUUAUUCUCCACUGUUUGUUUUGUAGUUAUAAAAGUGAAGUUUCACUAGUUCUGUUGUUUAUUUAUUAGGAAGUGUAUGAUGUAAAACUAUAAUUUAUAUAUAAAUAAUAAAUAAUUUAAUAAAUAAAAAUAAUAUAAUUAUAUUUUUAUAAUUAAAAUUUAAUUUAAAGAAACUAAAUUAUUUUUUAUACAUAAAUUAUAAUACUACAAUAAUAAAAUUAUAAAGUAAAAAUAUUAAUGUUUAAUUAAUCAAUUUUUAUUAUAUUUUAUAUUGUACAAACUAAAUAAAAAAAUAUUAAAACUUAAGUAAUCAAUUUUUACCAUAUUUUAAAUAUGUCAAAUGAAUAAAAGAAUAAUUAGUACUAUAAUUAAAUAUAUUUAAAUAUAACUAUCUUUACCUAGUAUAUUAUUUUAUUAUUUUUUAUUCACCUUCCUUCACCGUAAUUGACUUCGGCCAACGGUGGACCGAAGUCAAUUACGCCGUUUUAGUUUAACUGGAGUUUCAACCGUAACUUUUUUACGGCGAACCAAACAACGAAAGUGAUCAAUUUACACAGAAAAUCAACUUCCUCCCUCUCACUUCCAUCCUACUUCUUUGCAAAUAAACUGGCCCUUGGUGUAGACCUAAGUGAGUCAUCUGAAGUUUUUUAUAUAUAAUUUAACGAAAUAUUAACGGAGGAGCUGACGAAAAGAGAAAAUAAAACCACAAGGUACUAACUUGAUACACUUUAAAUCACAGAAUACUAAAGUGAGAAAGUACGAAACUAUAGGGGUGGUAUUUGAAAUUUACCCUUUUUAUUAAUUAUAGAUUGUGUAUGAGCAUAUCUUUAUACACUCGGUGUACAACUUUUUUUAUAUGGUAUGAAAUUUUAAUUUUGUUAUAUCGCCUAUUAAAAAAUAGGAUUGGUCCAUGCGAUAAAAUUUUACACUUGGUGUAGAUAGAAAUAAAAAAGAAAAAGUGUUGAGAGAAAAAAAAAUAAAAAAAAGAAUUGUAUAUGAGUAUAUCUUAUACACUCAGUGUACAAUUUUUUUUAGAUCGUAUAAAAUUUUAAUUUUGUUAUUUCAACUAUUAAAAAAUUAAAUAAAGGAUUAUAUAUGAACAUAGCUUUUACACUCGGUGUAUAUUUUUUUUUUACACUGUAUAAAAUUUUAAUCAAGGUUUUAUCCACCAUGUUGUACCGUGCCAACAAGAUACCGGCACGAUACAGAUUCCGUGCCGAUGGCACAGCUUAAAACCCUCUAUUCUUUAAAUUAGUAAGUAAUUUUCUCAAUAAAGUUCAAAAGAUGUGAUAAAAAGACAUAAUAAAUAGUAAGAAUAUUUUGUUGCUAAAGAAAAUAAAUAUUUCAUACUAUUAUUUUUUUUACCAGUACGCAGCGGCAUGGCUCAGCACGCACCAUACCGUACCAU